UACGUAGGGUGCGAGCGUUGUCCGGAUUUAUUGGGCGUAAAGAGCUCGUAGGCGGUGUGUCGCGUCGGCCGUGAAAACCUGCAGCUUAACUGUGGGCGUGCGGUCGAUACGGGCAUCACUGGAGUUCGGCAGGGGAGACUGGAAUUCCUGGUGUAGCGGUGAAAUGCGCAGAUAUCAGGAGGAACACCGGUGGCGAAGGCGGCUGCCUGGACCGAUACUGAC
rnacentral:rRNA from 1 species